rnacentral:rRNA from 1 species
AGUGAACGCUGGCGGUAGGCCUAACACAUGCAAGUCGAACGGCAGCACAGGAGAGCUUGCUCUCUGGGUGGCGAGUGGCGGACGGGUGAGGAAUACAUCGGAAUCUACUCUGUCGUGGGGGAUAACGUAGGGAAACUUACGCUAAUACCGCAUACGACCUACGGGUGAGAGCAGGGGACCUUCGGGCCUUGCGCGAUUGAAUGAGCCGAUGUCGGAUUAGCUAGUUGGCGGGGUAAAGGCCCACCAAGGCGACGAUCCGUAGCUGGUCUGAGAGGAUGAUCAGCCACACUGGAACUGAGACACGGUCCAGACUCCUACGGGAGGCAGCAGUGGGGAAUAUUGGACAAUGGGCGCAAGCCUGAUCCAGCCAUACCGCGUGGGUGAAGAAGGCCUUCGGGUUGUAAAGCCCUUUUGUUGGGAAAGAAAUCCAGCUGGCUAAUACCCGGUUGGGAUGACGGUACCCAAAGAAUAAGCACCGGCUAACUUCGUGCCAGCCGCCGCAAUAC